UACGUAGGGUGCGAGCGUUGUCCGGAAUCACUGGGCGUAAAGCGCACGUAGGCGGCUUUCUAAGUCAGGGGUGAAAUCCUGGAGCUCAACUCCAGAACUGCCUUUGAUACUGGAGAGCUUGAGUCCGGGAGAGGUGAGUGGAACUCCGAGUGUAGAGGUGAAAUUCGUAGAUAUUCGGAAGAACACCAGUGGCGAAGGCGGCUCACUGGCCCGGUACUGACGCUGAUGUGCGAAAGCGUGGGGAGCAAACAGG
rnacentral:rRNA from 1 species